rnacentral:misc_RNA from 1 species
ACAAACUUGGUCAUUUAGAGGAAGUAAAAGUCGUAACAAGGUUUCCGUAGGUGAACCUGCGGAAGGAUCAUUACACUGAGAGGGUGGGUGCCGGGGGGCUGUUCUGCUUGGAUCAGCUCUUCUCGCCUGCCCUGUCGCAUACCAUCCAUGCUUUUUGCGUACCCACUGUUUCCUCGGCAGGCUCGCCUGCCCGCAGGACCCCCUUCAACCCUUUGCAAUUGCAGUCUGCGUCAGAAAACAACGUAAUCGUUACAACUUUCAACAACGGAUCUCUUGGUUCUGGCAUCGAUGAAGAACGCAGC